UUGAGUGGAAAGACUUUGAGUGGAAAGUCGUAUUUGAGGGACAUGCAUAGAUUCAGGUAUGACCAAACCGCUCUAAGGACUAAGGUUGAAUUUGUGAAACUCAGAUAUGACCAAACACCUUUGAGGAACUAAGGUUGGAUUUAUGAAACUCGGAUAUGGCCAAACAGCUUUGAAGAACUAAGGUUGGAUUUAUGAAACUCAGAUAUGACGUAACAGCUUUGAGGAAAUAAGGUUGGAUUUAUGAAACUCAGAUAUGACCUAACAGCUGUAAGGACUAAGGCUGACUUAUGAAACCUGCCGCCACAAAGCCCCUUGGAACUGCUGGCCCGAUGCCUGGUUAGAGUUCCCAGCAGCCUCACCAGUGAGUAAAGACUGUCACUUCUUGGCAGGUGCAGGAAACUCAGGACGCUUUGGGGACCUCGUGAAAAGGAACUCCCCCAAAUCCACAGGUAUUACAGGCAAGUCUGAUGGUCCCACCCCCUGGAGACGCCUUUUGCUGCCAGGACUUCCAGUCAACGCAGGUUCCUUUGGACCACACAUGUGGUCUCCCCGGCCUCUCGCCACUCGUACAGGUGUGGGCCCUGCUGCCCCGCCUUGACCACAGAUGGGCCCCCCCCCGGACGACCCCGUGCAGGAGCGGAAGUUACAGAAGACCAGACCUUCCAGCCUCGGCAAGCUCAAAGAUUUAAGGGUCAAAGCUGUUCAGGGGAGAAUGAUGUGGGAAACAAAGGCAGAAGAGCAAUGAAAUGUCCUCACCGCCUCCAGCGCACUGACUCGUCCCCAAAACAGGCAGGGACCUUCCCCUCGGAGCUCAGCUGCCUCGGUGGUAGCACCCUGCGAGGGCCGCCGGCAAUUCCAGCCCGACCCCAGGCCCCUGGGAGUCUACUUGAACAUAUAAAAAUUCCUUUGGAAAAAAAAUAUAAAUAAAUAAAAAUUAAAAAAAUAAAAAUUC